rnacentral:rRNA from 1 species
CUACCAAGACAGUGACGGUUGACGGGAAAUUAGGGUUUUGUACCGGAGAGGGAGCCUGAGAGAUUGCUCCCACGUCCAAGGACGGCAGCAGGCUCGAAAAUUGCCCACUCUUUGCAGGAGGCAGUUAUGAGACGUGAAGAUGAGUAUCUUGUAAAGAGGGAUAGGAGAAUUGGAGGGCAAGUUUGGUGCCAGCAGCCGCGGUAAUACCGACUCCAAGAGUGUGUAUGAGAGAUGCUGCAGUUAAAAAGUCCGUAGUCAUAGAAGGGCAAAUAGAGAUGCGAGGUCUCACAGUGCGAUGAUGGAGGAGCCGAUGGGGAACAUAGUAUACCAGGGCGAGAGAUGAAAUGCCAAGACCCCUGGUGGACUGAGCGAGGCGAAGGCGAUGUUCUUGUAGGCAUUCGGUGAUCAAGGACGAAGGCUGGAGUAUCGAAAGUGAUUAGAUACCGCAGUAGUUCCAGCAGUAAAAGAUGCC